UCAAUAAAAUCCUAAUCAAAUCAGAAAUUGAUUAAGCCCAACCCUUGAUCAAAUCAAGGACCAAACCAUCUCGACGAUUAGGUCAACUCUUAACCUAAUCGGGUCAAACCCAACUGAAUCCAAUUCAAUUGGACUUGAUCCAAAAUUAAUUACUCAAUCAAAUUGAGUUAAUUAGUGAUCAAAUUGCUAAUUAAACCUCUCAUAAAUAUUGAGUCCAAAUCCGAUGGAUAAUCGGGCAUCAGAAUUCAUCGAUAUGUAACCUUGAUCGAAGAGUCCUAAACCAGUGGGACUCUUGACCCCAGUACCCAAAAUGUGUGGAAUUCAUGAUCAGAGAAUCCUGAUUCUCGAUCAUAGAAUCUCAGACAUGAAGGACUCUUCACCAGCUAUCAGAUCAGAUAGGAACCUCUAAUGUGUGUGACCCCACA
rnacentral:lncRNA from 1 species